rnacentral:misc_RNA from 1 species
UUAUUUUUAUACUUUAACUUUGAUUUUAUUUUUAUGUUUUUUAAAUAUUGGUGUUUUUGAAUGUGUUGUUUAAAUAACAUAAAAAAUAAAAUAUAUAUUGACAUGUAUUAAACAAAGAUAUAUAUUAUUUUAUGUUGUAUAAAUAAAUUGGCAAAAUAGAGAUGGAAGAUAAAAAUAUGGUCAAAGUAAUAAGAGUCUAUGGU